rnacentral:rRNA from 1 species
CCUACGGGAGGCAGCAGUGGGGAAUAUUGGGCAAUGGGCGAAAGCCUGACCCAGCAACGCCGCGUGAAGGAUGAAGGUCUUCGGAUUGUAAACUUCUUUGAUCAGGGACGAAACAAAUGACGGUACCUGAAGAACAAGCCACGGCUAACUACGUGCCAGCAGCCGCGGUAAU